rnacentral:rRNA from 1 species
UACGAAGGGGGCUAGCGUUGUUCGGAAUCACUGGGCGUAAAGCGCACGUAGGCGGAUUGUUAAGUCGGGGGUGAAAUCCUGAGGCUCAACCUCAGAACUGCCUUCGAUACUGGCAAUCUCGAGUCCGGAAGAGGUUGGUGGAACAGCUAGUGUAGAGGUGAAAUUCGUAGAUAUUGGGAAGAACACCAAUGGCGAAGGCAGCUCGCUGGGACGGUACUGACGCUGAGACGCGAAAGCGUGGGGAGCAAACAGG